rnacentral:rRNA from 1 species
CCUACGGGAGGCAGCAGUGAGGGAUAUUGGUCAAUGGGGGAAACGCUGAACCAGCAAUGCCGCGUGAAGGUAGAUGCCUUUUGGAUUGUAAACUUCUGUCCUCUGUGAACAUAAUGACGGUAGUAGAGGAGGACGCUCCGGCUAACUACGUGCCAGUGGCCGCGCUAAUUCGUAGAGAGCAAGCGUUGUCCGGAUUUACUGGUUGUAAAGGGUGCGUUGGCGGUUCUGCAGUUCAGAAGUGAAAUCCAUGGGCUUAAGGCGUGAACUGCUUUUGAAACUGUUGGGCUUGAGUGAAGUAGAGGCAGGCGGAAUGCCCGGUGUAGCGGUGAAAUGCGUAGAGAUCGGGAGGAACACCGGUGGCGAAGGCAGCCUGCGAAGCUUUGACUGACGCUGAAGCACGAAAGCGUGGGUAGCAAACAGGAUUAGAUACCCUUGUAGUC